AUUGAACGCUGGCGGCAGGCCUAACACAUGCAAGUCGAGCGAGCGGCGGACGGGUGAGUAAUGUCUGGGAAACUGCCUGAUGGAAGGGGAUAACUACUGGAAACGGUAGCUAAAACCGCAUAACAUCAUCUGUGCCCCGAUGGGAUUAGCUGGUGGGUGGGGUAACGGCUCACCCAGGCGACGAUCCCUAGCUGGUCUGAGAGGAUGACCAGCCACACUGGAACUGAGACACGGUCCAGACUCCUACGGGAGGCAGCAGUGGGGAAUAUUGCACAAUGGGCGCAAGCCUGAUGCAGCCAUGCCGCGUGUGUGAAGAAGGCCUUCGGGUUGUAAAGCACUUUCAGCGGGGAGGCGGUACCCGCAGAAGAAGCACCGGCUAACUCCGUGCCAGCAGCCGCGGUAAUAC
rnacentral:rRNA from 1 species